rnacentral:lncRNA from 1 species
GCUACAGGGCCAACACAUUACCUGCUGCAGACAGGUGUUUGGAAAUGACUGAGAUAGGUCCAGUGAUCUGCCUGUUUUGAGGCAGUCUGGGAAGUAUGCUCACUGCAGAGCUGAUGAACCCAACUGGCCAACCUUGCCUCAAGAACCUGUUUGGUAAAUCAAAACUGCACCCAGAAACAUCAGCAGCUCACGGCAUUAAGUGGUCUUCACGACAUUUGUCCAGGUGCACUUGGAGGCUGGGUGCUUUGUCCCAGUGA